UACGGGGGGGGCAAGCGUUGUUCGGAAUUACUGGGCGUAAAGGGCUCGUAGGCGGUCAACUGAGUCGGUUGUGAAAUCCCCAGGCUUAACCUGGGAACUGCAUCCGAUACUGGAUGGCUUGAAUCCGGGAGAGGGAUGCAGAAUUCCAGGUGUAGCGGUGAAAUGCGUAGAUAUCUGGAGGAAUACCGGUGGCGAAGGCGGCAUCCUGGACCGGCAUUGACGCUGAGUGAGCGAAAGCUAGGGGAGCAAACGGG
rnacentral:rRNA from 1 species